UAAUUUAUGUGAAAAUAAUAAAAUUAAAUAGUAUUUUGUUUUUAAGUGCUGCACAGGAAAGAAUAUUAACGAAAGUACAAGAAUGUACUUUGUACAAGUUUGCUUAAGUCAAGAGAAUAUUUAAGUCGGCGCCUGCAUUCCAUACGGUUCCACGUCGCGUUUAGAAAAUCACCUUUAAAGUUGUUGAGCGCGCUAAGAACAUGUGUCAUCUUCUGUGUUCCAUGGCAAAAUAUACCCACUUCUGGCUGCUCCUAGACUUGAAGUAUCCCUGCUGGAAGCAAUAGUAGUCAAACGGAUAGAAAAUACCGGGUCCAAAGUGAUGGAUAGGAGCGGUGUUAAUAUGCUCUAUUUUUUUACCUGAAAUGGAUUUUAUUGUCCUUCCGUAUUUCUACAGCCACCAGUCAGUCAGCAACUAUUGCCGAACGUUCAAUCGUACAAUGCAGGACUUUUUUAAUCGCCCAAAAGUUUGCAUGAAGCUCCGCAGAUCGCGCCGACGAAUACAUGCAUCGGCAGGCUAUAUCGAAGACCUACCUCUGUAAUACAAGAUCCAUUGUCAGGUCUUUCACGUCAGGGGUGUGAGGAUCUGAACUCCAGAAAAACCAAGGUGGCUGGCAGCACUAUGAACUCUCAUGCAUUUAAUAUAAGAGACCCAUGUAUGGAACAUAUUGAUGAUAACCGGUGGAUAUAUGAAGGUUGACAGAACAAAAAAAUUCCUAGUAAAUACAAACAGUUUAAAUUUCGGAAUGCAGAUGGAUAAACUUAACAUAAAUCCAUGAGGUAUGGUGAUAUCACUUCUGCCUCUGCCUGAAAAUCAUCAGAAAAUAAUCCCUAAGAUUCCUCAAAUCAAGGUUAAACAGAAUCAGUGAGAAAACAAAGUUCAGCUUGGUACGCACACCACACAAUCGUGACCCUCCUCCAUUAGAAAAGAAGAAUAAUCAUCUAAUUUUGGUGAUCAGGGCAGGUGCAAAGUUAAGAAAUCUUCCCGGAACCUCUAGCUACUUAAGAUUUUCAAUAAAAAUCCUAGUCAGAAUAAAAUAAAAUGUCCCUUUUAUAUCGAUAACCAAAUUUUUCAUUAUGUCUGCAGAGAUGUUAAUAACGUAAUAUAACGUCGAUAUAUCCCUCACAAAGCCAUGCUAAAAUCUUAGGAUUUCUAUUCAUCUCUUUCAGCAAGAUAUUUCUAACGACACUGAAGCAGCUUCUUAAAUAACUUUCUCGUGCUAGAAGUGUGUGAAAUAAGUCGAAAUCAGUUCUGGAAUUCGGCUGGCUUAAAGUUGAAAAUCCCUGUAAAGUCCACACAUGCCCUACAAAUAAAGAAGAGUUAAACAUCGAAUAAUUUUAUACGCGAUUCUACUGUGCUCUCUGGGAACAAGAGAUGACAUUCGAAUAACUUGAAGAAAAUCACGGUUUAUCCUGAUGGGAUACCAGAACUUUUUCUAGAUGUCCAAAAACUAAUUAAAAAUGAAGUCUGUUUACUUCGCUCUAAUUAACAUGCAACACGUUUCUUUAUGGAGAGCAUUGAAGGGGAUAAAAAGUGAUUUUCAUUUAUUCAUUUUUCUAUCUGUAACAAGUGAUGACUAACGAGAUAAAUUAAGGUAGAUGUGGGGAGCAUAAUAUAUGCAGAAGGAUUAGAAACUACUUAUUUAUUGGCCUUAGUAGUAACAUGAAGAUGGCAAUACUCGGAAAAUAUAUCACUUAUGAGUUCUUUAACAGUCACCUACGCAAUAGCAGUGUACUCCCCACUCAAAUCAGUCACACUUUACAAGUGCAGCGGGCAACAUUUGUCUUAUGAGAAUAGUCACAUUCUAGUGACAACCGGCAGAGAUGCCGCAAACGUGACAUUUUGCAGGAGUGUACCCAAAUAUAUAAAAACAUAUACAAAAUGAUUAAAAUACGAAUAUUAUGGCAACGCGAGUAAAAAUUUUACAAGAGUAUUUUUUCCUAAUGAAUUUCGAGUUUAAAAAUAAUUUUCUGAUCGUUUGGAACUUUACUUAUAAUUUACAUUGUUCAAAAUAUUG